UGUGGGUGAGUCAGGCCCAAGACAUGUUGAAAUGCAUUCUUAAUAAACACAGCAGCAAGGAGUAUGUGCCGUUGUGAGGAACUUAUCAUUCGGUUGCUGGAGUGUGGGUCAUAGGAAACUUGAAGUGCACCAAAAUUUUGGGCCUACACACUCAAGAAAAGGGCUGAUAAGGUAUCCAGUCUACCAGAACUGAGGCUGAUCCCAGGAGAGGCAAAUGCCCUACUAGUUGCUCCUCAGAGAUAAUGAGCUGCUGAGUGCUGAGUGAGAUGUUUGCAGGGCCAGAGGGCUGGGAUUGGAGUUGCUUCACUGGCUGUGUAUGGAGAGGGCCUGGUCUCGGCUCUAAAUUAGUGAGCCUUCUGGAUCAAUGUGGGCUGUAAUUAGCUGCUAUUGAUCCCAGACAGAUCAGCCACUACAGUAGGCCACAGCCAAGCACCUCUCAACGUCCAUCAAGCUGCAUCCCCACAGCGCAGCAGCGCAGCCUCAGAUCACUCUGAGAGCAAACAAAUAAUAUCAGCCAGCACACUCAGCUCCUGAAAUGCUGCAGAGGAAAGCUGAUCCUCAUCCACGGGAGGCAGUAAAGUUGGGCCCCAGUAGGAAAACAGUGGGAUAGCUAUAAUGUCUAUGAAUAUUCUCAGUCAUCCAGUGUAUGUAGGAAGUCAAAAGCAGCUGGACUUGUUUGUUCUUGAGGGCAUUUCACCACUCAUCCAAAAGGCUUCAUCAGCACUACUGAUAGCGGUAAUGAUGCCAUUUAGAUGUGUUGUUUUAUUUAAAAGCAUUUCAGACUUUGGCCAACUUCAGUGCUGAACAUGAAUAAUUGCCUUUGCAUCCAUCCAGUCCCGGCCUCAAACUUAUUGAACUACUAGAAUAUCCAAUUUCACCCAGUCCAAAUGUCCUUUUGCUGCAGUCUGGCUUGGUUAGAUUCAAUAUUGCAGUGAUGUGUGCAAUUCCAAGCCCAAAUGAAUCUCCCAGCGCAAGCCCAUCUCAGAAAAGAUGUUUCCAGAGAUUGAAGCACAGGGAUACCAGGUGGAAGAGUAGUGGUGCAAAGUGAGUGAGAGCAAUUUGCACUCUGCAGGUUAAACCAAACUUUCUCUGAUAUAUGAAAAAAAGCAAAACUUGAAUCAGCAAGAAAAAAAAAACGAUAAAAGUGAUUUUCUCAAAGACUUUGUGAACAUUUGGGGAGGUUGUGUUUUUUUUUUUUUUUUUCCUUUCUUCUUUUUACCACAUAGGAUCAAAAGGGAUAUUGUCUGGACAAUAAACACUGACAAAGUACAGCUUCAACUCUUAGCAGAACCGCAGAAGCCUCACUUAAACUUUUACAAGAAUUUUUAACAUGUAAACAAAACCCUACAUAAAAAUGUAUUUUAAUGGCCUGUACCUCGCAAUAUAAUCCUCUCUAGUAAAAUUCAGUGUAUGUGUUGUGUUGUUUUGAUGAGAGAAUCCAGCAUCCAAGGUCUAAGAUAUUGUGUCCUCAGGGGAUCUCAGUCACCUAAGCAUAUUACAGCAGGGCAAGUUGUAGCAAUAUUGAACAGAUGCUAUGGAAGCAAUGUUCAUUUAUUCAUUUUAUUUUUAUUUUUAGUGGUUUAUGAUGAUUGGAACCUUGAGUACUUUUAUUAUGUUUGUCUAUGGUCUGUGUAAAAUGUGUGUCAAGAUGAAUGGCUUGUCUGUUGCAAACCAAAUCUACCUAUGGGUACAAAUAAACCAACC